GGCUUAGUAGGGCCCUAGGGGGUGGUCCGCGAAAUCCGAGACCUCUGCAAAGAAAAGAGAAGAGGCGCGCAUUAGAAAGCAGCCCUAGGAGUCAGGCCCGCCCGGCCUCCGCGGUGCCCGGGGCUGCGUGCAGCGCCCGCCCCACCACGCCAGUCUCCGGCGGCCGCCCGUCUCCGCCGCCCUCCAGUCCCGGGUUUUCCCGUCGGCUCUAAGUCGGCGGAGUGAGCCCGGCCGUCUUUUCCGUAGCGGGAGAAAAGCCGGGACUCUAGGAGAGAGGGUGGCGAAUCCUACCUGGCCUGGGGCAGCCGCGAAGAAUCGCCUCCCAGCCUCCCCGCCAAGACUUUGGCGGUUGCCGUCAGACCCGCCCACGCUCUCCAGUUCUCCUCCCCUCUGUUCCCACUACGGCCUUGGCACCUGCGACCCUCACUCCGGCGUUCGCGCAGCAGCUUCUCAAACCACUUCUUUGCUCUGAUCUCACUCCUCUGCUCCGGCGUGCAGACCUACUCACCGAAAACAGGUUUCCAACCACACGCUCCCUGGGAGACACCCGCGCUUGGAGGGAUCGGACCCACCAAAUUAGGAUCCGCCCAAAGCCCCCCUCCCUCUUCUUUCUGGCAGCUUGGAUUCUGUAAUCCGCAGUCAAUGCUCCCACUUCCGCAGGGCCAGAGCGAGACUCUCUGCGCCCUUGUCCUGGGAUAUAUUUGUAGUAUUUUCUAAGUCAUGUUUUACACUAACCAUUUGUGUUA